rnacentral:rRNA from 1 species
GACGAACGCUGGCGGCGUGCUUAACACAUGCAAGUCGAACGAUGAACCAGGGCUUGCCCUGGGGAUUAGUGGCGAACGGGUGAGUAACACGUGGGCAACCUGCCCCAGACACCGGGAUAACCUCUCGAAAGAGUGGCUAAUACCGGAUACGACCACUUUGGGCAUCCAACGGUGGUGGAAAGGAUUCUGGUCUGGGAUGGGCCCGCGGCCUAUCAGCUUGUUGGGGGGGUAAUGGCCUACCAAGGCGACGACGGGUAGCCGGCCUGAGAGGGCGACCGGCCACACUGGGACUGAGACACGGCCCAGACUCCUACGGGAGGCAGCAGUGGGGAAUAUUGCGCAAUGGGCGAAAGCCUGACGCAGCGACGCCGCGUGAGGGACGAAGGUCUUCGGAUUGUAAACCUCUUUCAGCAGGGACGAAGCGAAAGUGACUGUACCUGCAGAAGAAGCACCGGCUAACUACGUGCCAGCCGCCGCCGUAAUAC